UCAAUGACUCUAUCUAAGUCGCUCUGGAUAAGAGCGUCUGCUAAAUGACUUAAA
rfam:Salmo salar isolate Sally breed double haploid chromosome ssa11, whole genome shotgun sequence.